rnacentral:rRNA from 1 species
AUACCUGAGUAAAGUGGCGCACGGGUGAGUAACACGUGACUAACCUACCCUGGAGUGGGGGAUAACUGAGGGAAACCUUAGCUAAUACCGCAUAAUACUUACGGGUCAAAGGAGCAAUUCGCUUCAGGAGGGGGUCGCGGCCGAUUAGUUAGUUGGCGGGGUAAUGGCCCACCAAGACAGUGAUCGGUAUCCGGCCUGAGAGGGCGCACGGACACACUGGAACUGAAACACGGUCCAGACUCCUACGGGAGGCAGCAGUGGGGAAUUUUGCGCAAUGGGGGAAACCCUGACGCAGCAACGCCGCGUGGAGGAUGAAGUCCUUCGGGACGUAAACUCCUUUCGAUCGGGACGAUUAUGACGGUACCGGAAGAAGAAGCCCCGGCUAACUUCGUGCCAGCAGCCGCGGUAAUACGAGGGGGGCGAGCGUUGUUCGGAAUUAUUGGGCGUAAAGGGUGCGUAGGCGGUUUUGUAAGUCUUAUGUGAAAUCUAUGGGCUCAACUCAUAGACUGCAUGAGAAACUGCAGGGCUUGAGUAUGGGAGAGGUGAGUGGAAUUCCUGGUGUAGCGGUGAAAUGCGUAGAUAUCAGGAGGAACACCUGUGGCGAAAGCGGCUCACUGGACCAUAACUGACGCUGAUGCACGAAAGCUAGGGGAGCAAACAGGAUUAGAUACCCUGGUAGUCCUAGCCCU